rnacentral:misc_RNA from 1 species
UUUCCGUAGGUGAACCUGCGGAAGGAUCGUUACAGGACUCGCAAGACUCCUACAACCCUGUGAACUUAACUAUAAGCACGUUGCUUCGGCGGGUGUCUCGGAGGGGGUUCUCCCUCCCCGAGACGCUAAACCCGCCGGCAGCCUACCAUACUCUGUCUCUUUGCGUUGGCAUCUCGAGUACAAUCAAACAAGUUAAAACUUUCAACAACGGAUCUCUUGGUUCUG